AUUGAACGCUGGCGGCAUGCUUUACACAUGCAAGUCGAACGGCAGCGCGGGCUUCGGCCUGGCGGCGAGUGGCGGACGGGUGAGUAAUGCCUCGGAACGUGCCCAGUAGUGGGGGAUAGCCCGGCGAAAGCCGGAUUAAUACCGCAUACGACCUGAGGGUGAAAGCGGGGGACCGAAAGGCCUCGCGCUAUUGGAGCGGCCGAUGUCGGAUUAGCUAGUUGGUGGGGUAAAGGCUUACCAAGGCGACGAUCCGUAACUGGUCUGAGAGGACGACCAGCCACACUGGGACUGAGACACGGCCCAGACUCCUACGGGAGGCAGCAGUGGGGAAUUUUGGACAAUGGGGGCAACCCUGAUCCAGCCAUGCCGCGUGCGGGAAGAAGGCCUUCGGAUUGUAAACCGCUUUUGUUCGGGAAGAAGGCCACUAGGCUAAUACCCCGGGGUGAUGACGUUACCGAAAGAAUAAGCACCGGCUAACUACGUG
rnacentral:rRNA from 1 species